UACAGAGGUCUCAAGCGUUGUUCGGAUGCAUUGGGCGUAAAGGGUGCGUAGGUGGCGCUGUAAGUCGGGUGUGAAAUUUCGGAGCUUAACUCCGAAACUGCAUUCGAUACUGCCGUGCUUGAGGACUGGAGAGGAGACUGGAAUUUACGGUGUAGCAGUGAAAUGCGUAGAGAUCGUAAGGAAGACCAGUGGCGAAGGCGGGUCUCUGGACAGUUCCUGACACUGAGGCACGAAGGCCAGGGGAGCAAACGGG
rnacentral:rRNA from 1 species